rnacentral:lncRNA from 1 species
CAUAUUAUUUAUUUAACACAAUGUUUAUACUCGUAUAUAACUUAUAUAUACCCUGGGGUUCUAAAUUUACUUCACUUUCUAUAUCAACAUUAUUUUUCAUAAAAUUUGAGAGUACAUAUCUUUCCAAUUUCUUAUAGCUAAUUAUACAACAUAUGAUGAUUACAAUGAAUAUAAAAUACAGUAUACAUGUCCAUAUGGUAGGAUAGGUAAACAUAUUGGUAGAGAUAUUUAUUGAGUUAAAGGUAUUCGGCGAAAUCUUCUUUAGGUUGAAGUUCCAUAGUUUUAUGGUAAUCCCUGAAGAUUGCUUCGGUGAAAUUAAUAGGUUGAUGUUUUGUAUCAAGGUAGGUUUUCCAUAAGUGAACGAUUCGAAGAUUAGCGGCUUGUUUUGUACAUCAUUUCUUCAUUCUUAGCCUUAAUGAGAAAUAUUCCUUCCAUGGCUUUAGUUUCGAUGAAGUUAUGUUGUAGUAUCUUGAUUUUAUCCGGGGUUGUGAAUACUGCCAGAAAUUGGUUGAUUAACGGAAUAAAGACUAGUUGAUUAUCCUGGACUGUGAGUUUACUGAAUUUGCAAAGUGUAGUGUUUCCAGUCAGCAGGAGUUCUUCUGUACAGGAAUCUUGAUGAGUGGAUAUUAAUCUUUUGGAACACUGGUAUACCUUGUGCUUUAAACAGCCUCCAUUAAGAGUUAUAAUUUUAUUAUUUUUCGAUUUUAACACAUAAUAUGCAUCUGGUAUUAUAGUAAAAAAUUCAUUUUUAUAUUUUCUUGGAAUGGGAUAUAAGUUAAAUAAUUCAAAAAUUUCCUCAGAAAAUAUAGGCAGUUGGAGGAAAUAAGUUACCCUAAGAUCGGUAUCGAUCGUACAAUGCAUUCUUAACAUAUUUUCAAAAUUUAAUAAAUCUUCAAAUUUUACUUCUAGCAAGAGGUGAGGUUUUAAAUAAUAUUCUAAUCGUUUUAAUUCUUUAAAUAAAUUAUUACUACUCAUUAUACGUGAGUGCAUGAUUUGUAAUUUACAGAAUGUUAAGGAAUUUUCAAUGUCCUGAAGAGUAUUGAAGAGCAGUUCAUAUAGUAUCUGAAUUUGGUGAAAUGCAUCCUUGAUUUCAAUUAUUUCUGCUUGGUAUUUUAUUUUCCGUCCUAUUAAAUUUAUUUUGUAUUCCAAUUCUUCGCCAUUUGUCUGAAGUGUUUGAAUAGUUUCAUUGAAAUUUAUAAUUAAUUCAUUAUUUACAGAGUACAUAGAUUUGAUUUGAUUUUCAAUAUCUAUUUGGUUGUCUUUAAUUUGAUUGAUAAGAUUGUCAAAGUUUUCCUUGUCUGUGUUGUCUAGGUUUCCUGUAAUAAAUUUUAUAACUGAUCCAAGUCCAUUAAUAAGUCCUCGACGUUGUCGGUUGGUUCUGUGCACACUUAUAUGGUCAAUUUUUUCGUCGAUGAGUGAUUUGGAAUAAUUUCCACUCUUGACAAUGUGUCCGCGAUCACAUUUUCAGAUCCUUUUUUAUAUUUAAUAUCAAAAUUGAACUCUCCUAAUUUUAAUCUCCACCUCAAUAACUUUGAAUUUGGUUCUCUCAUAGAGAAUAACCAUUGUAACGGGCGGUGAUCACUUAGGAUUUGGAAUUUUCUACCAUAAAGGUACGGCCUAAAGCAUUUAGUAGCCCAGACGAUCGCAAGUAAUUCCUUUUCAAUUGUUGAUAGUUUCGUUUCCGAUUCACACAACGUGCGGCUGGCAUAUGCGAUUGGUGGUCUCUACCAUUGAAAUUCUGACUUAGGACAGCUCCUCUAAUGCAACAUUGCUGGCGUCCGUUGUUAGGGAAAAAGGUUUUGAAUAGUCCGGGUAUUUAAGGAUCGGUUCGUUUAUCAAUAUAUGUUUACAUUUCUCAAAACAUUCCUUGUAUUCCAAUUCAUUGGCGUUGAUGGUGGCUCCCUUUUUUAAUUUACGCGUUAGUGGUUUCGUUAAUUCAGCGAAAUUGGCGAUAAAUUUUCUGUAAUAACCGAGGAGUCCGAGGAACCCUUUGAGUUGUUCGGCUGUUCGGGGGAUUGUAAAUUUUUCAAUAGCACGUAUUUUAUCGGGGUUAGGUUUCACGCCUUCAGGAGUUACAAUGUGACCCAAAUAAGCUACUUCCUUUUUAAAGAAUUCCGUCUUAUCUAACUGAAUUUUUAGAUUUGCAUCUUUUAAGCGGGUUAAGACUCUUCUUAUGUCUUCUACAUGUUCCUGAAGACUAGUGCUAUAUAUAAUUACAUCAUCGAGAUAGAUUUGACAAUUUUUUAAUCCUGACAGUACAUUGUUCAUUACCCGUUGGAAUGUUCGUGGGCUAUUUUUCAAUCCGAACGGCAUUCUGAGGAACUCGACCGUUGUCCGUAGAAAAGGCCGUUUUAGGAAUGCUUUACGGUUCAAGUUCUACUUGGUGAAAACCCGAUGUUAAGUCCAACACGGUGAAAUAUUGACUGCGUCCCAAUUUGUCUAACAAUUCCGUUAUAUUCGGUAUAGGAUAUACGUCGUCAAUGGUCUUCUCAUUUAAUUUUCUGUAAUCGAUAACUAGGCUCCAUUUCUUUUGUUUUGAUGCGUCUAGUUUUUUGGGUACUAUCCAUACUGGAGAAUUCCAUGGAGAGUGCGAAUUUUGGAUGAUUUUUUGACUAAGCAUUUCGUUAAUUUGUUUUUCUAUUUCGUGUUUGUGGAUUUCAGGGUAUCUGUAUGACCUAGUGUAAACCGGUAUUUCGUCUGUGGUUCUGAUGUAAUGUUUAAUUUUAUUUGUAAAUGAGAGUGCUUUACCGUUUGUGUGAAAUAUUUCGUUGAACUCUUUAAUAAUUUUUGUUGUUGCUGCUUUCUCCUCAAAAUUCAUAUGGUCGGUUCUAAUUAAAUUAACCAUGGGUUCCGUCAUUUGACUCUCAGAUGUUAGAGUGUGUGAAGUUUCAAAAUUUUCUACAAAAAUUGGGUUUUUAAUUUCCUCUUUUCUGGUGUUUCUAGUUUUUACCAUUGUUUUUGAAUUCCUGUUUAUUAUGUUGUGGUUCGAUUUAGGUAUUUGAUAAUAGAGAAUUUUAAUUUUCUGACGAGGAGUGCUAAGUGUGUUUGUUCUGAAGUCUAUGUGGGCGUUCAGCUUUUGUAGAUUGUCGAGCCCGAUUAAAAUAUCGAAAUAAUCGUGAAAAUAAAACACAGUGAAUUCUAGGAAGAGAGAAUCAAAGUUGAAUAAUUCGGAGCAAUUUAUGACAGUGCUGUAUUUUUCUAAAGAUGUUCCAUGGGCUGUUUGGAUUUUAAAUGGUUUGAAUUUAAAUUUUGCGUUAAAGUAUGUUUUAGCAAUAUUUGGUUUGAUAAACAAUUUCGUACUACCUGUAUCGAUAAGGAUUUUUAAAUUAUUAUUCGGGAAUAAAAUAUAUGGUAGUAUGCUUUCGGUAGUAUUAUUGAAGUGAUAUUCGGGAAUUUUUCUCCAUCCUCUAAAAAAUGGUUCUGACGUAGUUCUUUUGUUUCUAUAUCCCCUGAAAAAUUUUCUGUUAAAUCAUAUUCAAAGUCAUUUUGAGACUCGUUGUCUUCAAAAUUUUCCGUAGUUGCAACGUUAUUUAACCCUUCUAAUUUAUACCUGUUUUGUCCAGAAGUUUUAUUAAAAUUGUGAAUGUUGCGGUUGAAUGUGGGGUUUUGUUGCGUACCCCGUGUGGAAAUGCUCAUAGGUGUUGGGUGUAUGUUUUGCCCGUUGUGAAUCUGUUGUUUGGGUGCAAACAUGUUUUGUUGGUAAUGAGUCUGUUGGGAAUUUCCUGGUUCCUUUGUGAAAUUUUUAAAUUGAGAUGUCGCCCCUUAAUGUAAGAAUCGUUGAUUACCGGGUGAUUUAUUAAUAAAUUGAGGUCGUGUUGUGAAAUUAUGUUGUUUUAGGUAUUGAUAAUCGUUGUGAAGAAGACUUCCGACUUCAGGCAGAGUUUUCGGAUUUCUAUUAGCUAAGUUACUUCUGAAUGGUUCGUUCAGUUUUCCCAAUGAAGUUGUGAACCACCCAUUUUUCGACUACUUCGCUGACCGCUUCUUGCUGUUGGUCAUUGUAGUUUUCUAGUCCGAGUGUGCCUUUAAAUUCAAAGAAUCUGUCUUGUGUCUCUUCAUAUAAUUUAUGAUGUUCGGUCGGCAAGUUAACUGUAGAAACAGAUGAUCUUCAAUGUCCUCUUGAGAUCCUUUGCCGUCCUACCGACUGCGCCAGUUAAAUAACUUCAACUGCGGAUUCCUUUUU